rnacentral:lncRNA from 12 species
AUGGGGGGAAAAGUGGGUGUUUUUCUGGGAAAAAUGGGGGGUUGUGUGAAAAAAAAUGGAGUUUUGUGGGAAAAAUUGGGUUUUUAAUGGAGAAAAUGGGGGGAAAUGGGGGUUCAGCUCAGCUCGCUGCUCAUCCACAGGUGGGAACAAGAAAAUCCUGGAAUUCUGUUGAUUUUGGGAAUUCUGGGGGUGGGAAUUUGUGGAAUUUUGGAGCAAACCCUGCUGUCUCCCCCCAGACAAACGGGCCCUGUUCAUCAUCUGCACCUCGGAGCUGGGACCCCAAAUCUACGAGCUGGUGGCACUGACGUCCUCGGAGAAGAACACGUGAGGGAAAUCCCGGGAAAACCCCCUGGGAAGGGCUGGAAAUUCCAUGGGAAGGGAUAAUAAUCCUUGGGAUGAGCUGGAAUCUCCCUGGGGGCAUAAAAAUCCUUGGAAUGAGCUCAAAAAUUCCCUGGGAGGGACCCAAAAAUUCCUUGGGGUGAGCUAGAAAAUCCCUUGGAGGGACAAAAAUCUUAGGGAGGAGCUGGAAUUGCCUCUGGAAUUUGUGCAGGUGGAUGGAGCUGCUGGAGCAGGCGGUGCAGGGGGCCACCAGGAGCCUCCCCGGGCCACCAAAACGGCACCAGGGCGAGGCCAGCGCGAGCACAGGAGCAGGGCUGGUGCUGCCCGAGCCCGCCGUGGCCCCGGGAUCCGAGCCCGAGGCUGAGCCCGAGGAUUGCUCCUCAGGUACGGCUGCUGUGUCGUCCUGUCACCCACUGUCACUGUCACUUCCUGUCACCCAUUGUCACCCAGUGUCACCUCCUGUCUCUGUCCCCAUCCCUGUCCUUGUCCCUGUCCUUCCCCUCUUGUCCCAUCGCUGUCCCUGUCCCAUCCCUAUUCCUGCUGUCCCCAAUGUCCCCUGUGUGUCCCCAUGUCCCCAGUGUCCCCUGUCCCUCCCCACAGCUGGCAGUGACCGCGCCCCUCCCCCGCCGGAGCCCCCCCCCCCCCCCCCCCCCCCCCCCCCCCCCCCCCCCCCCCCCCCCCCCCCCCCCCCCCCCCCCCCC